rnacentral:miRNA from 1 species
UGGCUCAGUUCAGCAGGACAGG